GAUGAACGCUGGCGGCGUGCCUAAUACAUGCAAGUCGAGCGAACAGACGAGGAGCUUGCUCCUCUGACGUUAGCGGCGGACGGGUGAGUAACACGUGGAUAACCUACCUAUAAGACUGGGAUAACUUCGGGAAACCGGAGCUAAUACCGGAUAAUAUAUUGAACCGCAUGGUUCAAUAGUGAAAGACGGUUUUGCUGUCACUUAUAGAUGGAUCCGCGCCGCAUUAGCUAGUUGGUAAGGUAACGGCUUACCAAGGCAACGAUGCGUAGCCGACCUGAGAGGGUGAUCGGCCACACUGGAACUGAGACACGGUCCAGACUCCUAAGGGAGGCACCAGUAGGGAAUCUUCCGCAAUGGGCGAAAGCCUGACGGAGCAACGCCGCGUGAGUGAUGAAGGUCUUCGGAUCGUAAAACUCUGUUAUUAGGGAAGAACAAAUGUGUAAGUAACUAUGCACGUCUUGACGGUACCUAAUCAGAAAGCCACGGCUAACUACGUG
rnacentral:rRNA from 1 species